rnacentral:lncRNA from 1 species
AAGGCCAUGGGAACAAGAAAGAAAGCAGUCAGAGGCAAAGGAUUAGAUGCACACAUGGCAAGAUGUUGUCCUAACUCUACACCUGGAACUGCUGCAACCACCUUGCUUCCAGUGUGAGAAUGAAGACAGUGCUAAGGAUGGUAAAAAAGAGAGAUAACAAGAGCCUAAUCCUUGAGGACAUCCUUGAAUCACAGCGUCAACCAACUCUGUCAUCUGUCCUACCUCUGGACAUCCUGGUAUGAGAUUAGUGUGUUUCCUAAUUGCUUAGGCAAAUUUGAGUUGAGCUUUCUGAUUACGGCAGGACAGAUCAUCCUAACACAAAGGUCUCAAAGAGAAAAACAAGAGCAUGGUGGACACUACUAUAAAUGAUCUGAUGUCUAUUCUCCCUUUCUACCUUACUAAUAUUACUCUUCAUUUUGUUUAAAGUAGGUCAGUUAUAGAUACACAGUCAUUUUAGACAAUAAAAUAUAUAUGGAUGACCAUUCUUCAGCCUCAUGAGACGCUAUUGUCUUAUUAAAAUAAUUUAAAAAGGAAAAGUGUCUCUCAGUGCCCUUUGUCCUUUGCCGUUUCUCUCUCUGGGCCUGAUAUGUAGAUUAAAUGCUCAUACAUAGUGCAUUCAAUGUGCUCAGGGUGGCAGAGCUAUAAACCAGAAGGAAUCUGAAUUCUUGAUGCCAUCCCUGACCAGUUAUGCUCUUCCUAAAAGCCCUCCUUCCAGACUUUCUUCGCAAAUGAGGAAAAGAAACUCCUGCUUAGAUAAG